UACAGAGGUCUCAAGCGUUGUUCGGAUUCAUUGGGCGUAAAGGGUGCGCAGGUGGUCGGGUAAGUCUGACGUGAAAUCCCGCAGCUUAACUGCGGAAUGGCAUUGGAUACUAUUCGGCUAGAGGGUUGGAGGGGGGGACUGGAAUUCUCGGUGUAGCAGUGAAAUGCGUAGAUAUCGAGAGGAACACCAGUGGCGAAGGCGAGUCCCUGGACAACUCCUGACGCUGAGGCACGAAAGCUAGGGGAGCAAACAGG
rnacentral:rRNA from 1 species